rnacentral:rRNA from 2 species
UACGUAGGUGGCAAGCGUUGUCCGGAUUUACUGGGCGUAAAGGGAGCGUAGGUGGAUAUUUAAGUGGGAUGUGAAAUCCCCGGGCUUAACCUGGGGGCUGCAUUCCAAACUGGAUGUCUAGAGUGCAGGAGAGGAGAGUGGAAUUCCUAGUGUAGCGGUGAAAUGCGUAGAGAUUAGGAAGAACACCAGUGGCGAAGGCGACUCUCUGGACUGUAACUGACACUGAGGCUCGAAAGCGUGGGGAGCAAACAGG